GGAGUGCAUUGGGCAGUCGCCGGAGAGUUGUAUUUAUACAACUUACGGAGGAACGUCCGAACUCGAUAUCAAAAGAAAUGUAUGCCGGCUAACAGCCGGGCAUUCAAUUUAUAAUUGCAAAAUUAUUUUAGAGGUGACGGAAAGUGCAACAGAAAAUAUACCGUCUUGAUAAAAUAAUUUUAUUGAGAUAAGGGUGAAAUGGUGAGGUAAGAGCUCACCGCACAAUGAGUAAUCAUUUGUGGCAGUGCAAACCCCAUACCGAGCAACGCCAUGCAGAAUCUGAGAAAGCUAAAUAGCUUAAAGAGUUUCGUUUCUUUCUCUUUUUAAAUUAAUUGAAACGGAUUCGGGUAGGCGGCAAAGAACUUGAUAAGCAAUUAUCAGUCAAGAUAAAUGACUGCCUCCAUUAAGAAAUUAAUGAAGACAGAAUUCGGCGUAUAGAUGCGCUUCGGGG
rnacentral:RNase_P_RNA from 1 species